UCCGUGGUGGCUCAGAGGGUAAAGCAUCUGCCUGCAAUGUAGGAGACCUGGGUUCGAUCCCUGGGUCAGGAA
rnacentral:tRNA from 1 species